ACGCUAGUUCUCAUGGAGCCGCCCUUGAAAUACCACCCUGUUGUUAUUGAGGUUCUAACUUGGUCCAGUAAUCCUGGAUGAGGACAGUGUAUGAUGGGUAGUUUGACUGGGGCGGUCUCCUCCCAAAGAGUAACGGAGGAGCACAAAGGUACCCUCGGUACGGUCGGACAUCGUACCAAGAGUGUAAAGGCAAAAGGGUGCUUGACUGCGAGAGUGACGGCUCGAGCAGGAACGAAAGUUGGUCUUAGUGAUCCGGUGGUUCUGAAUGGAAGGGCCAUCGCUCAACGGAUAAAAGGUACUCCGGGGAUAACAGGCUGAUACCGCCCAAGAGUUCAUAUCGACGGCGGUGUUUGGCACCUCGAUGUCGGCUCAUCACAUCCUGGGGCUGAAGCAGGUCCCAAGGGUAUGGCUGUUCGCCAUUUAAAGUGGUACGCGAGCUGGGUUUAGAACGUCGUGAGACAGUUCGGUCCCUAUCUGCCGUGGGCGUAGGAAAAUUGAGAGGAGCUGCUCCUAGUACGAGAGGACCGGAGUGGACGAACCUCUGGUGCACCGGUUGUCACGCCAGUGGCAUGGCCGGGUAGCUAAGUUCGGACGGGAUAACCGCUGAAAGCAUCUAAGCGGGAAGCCUCCCUCAAGAUGAGUUUUCCCAUGAAGCCCGUUGAAGACUACGACGUUGAUAGGCAAGGUGUGGAAGCGCAGUAAUGCGUGAAGCUAACUUGUACUAAUUGGCUGAUUGUCUUGACCAU
rnacentral:rRNA from 1 species